rnacentral:rRNA from 1 species
GAUGAACGCUAGCUACAGGCUUAACACAUGCGAGUCGAGGGGAAACGGCAUCGAAAGCUUGCUUUUGAUGGGCGUCGACCGGCGCACGGGUGAGUAACGCGUAUCCAACCUGCCCAUCACUUGGGAAUAACCUUGCGAAAGUAAGACUAAUGCCCAAUGACAUCCCACGAAGGCAUCCGAAUGGGAUUAAAGAUUUAUCGGUGAUGGAUGGGGAUGCGUCUGAUUAGCUUGUUGGCGGGGUGACGGCCCACCAAGGCAACGAUCAGUAGGGGUUCUGAGAGGAAGGUCCCCCACAUUGGAACUGAGACACGGUCCAAACUCCUACGGGAGGCAGCAGUGAGGAAUAUUGGUCAAUGGGCGAGAGCCUGAACCAGCCAAGUAGCGUGCAGGAUGACGGCCCUAUGGGUUGUAAACUGCUUUUAUAAGGGAAUAAAGUGGGUCACGUGUGACUUUUUGCAUGUACCUUAUGAAUAAGGACCGGCUAAUUCCGUG